rnacentral:rRNA from 1 species
GUGGGGAAUAUUGCGCAAUGGGCGAAAGCCUGACGCAGCGACGCCGCGUGAGGGACGAAGGCCUUCGGGUUGUAAACCUCUUUCAGCUCCGACGAAGCGCAAGUGACGGUAGGAGCAGAAGAAGCGCCGGCCAACUACGUGCCAGCAGCCGCGGUAAUACGUAGGGCGCAAGCGUUGUCCGGAAUUAUUGGGCGUAAAGAGCUCGUAGGCGGUCUGUCACGUCGGCUGUGAAAACCCGGGGCUCAACCCCGGGCCUGCAGUCGAUACGGGCAGACUAGAGUGUGGUAGGGGAGACUGGAAUUCCUGGUGUAGCGGUGGAAUGCGCAGAUAUCAGGAGGAACACCGGUGGCGAAGGCGGGUCUCUGGGCCAUAACUGACGCUGAGGAGCGAAAGCGUGGGGAGCGAACAGG